ACUUGUUAGCGAUCCGUGCACUUGUGGUGGUUGUAAAACCAGCAAACAACUGAUGAAUUGUUGCAUUAUAAUAUCUAUUGAUGUUCAAUGACCGUGCAAGGCAAUUUGGUGAAGGGUUAGUGGAAGAUACAAUCCCAAAAGUUAUAAGGUGACAGUAGUGAUGCAUUUUCGUCUGACAGACUGAUAGAUCAUAUGAAGAAGCAUUAAUGUACAAACAUAAAAUAUCCAUUAACUGGUGUGUAAUUGCAGUUGAUUACAUGUGAUUCUACUGUGUGCAAGUUAACUAGGAUUGAUAUCAUCAAAUGGACUUACUGCAUUGAUG
rnacentral:misc_RNA from 1 species